rnacentral:rRNA from 1 species
AACGUAGGACGCAAGCGUUAUCCGGAAUUACUGGGCGUAAAGCGUGCGCAGGCGGUUUUGUAAGCCAGGUGUGAAAUCCCCGGGCUCAACCUGGGAAUGGCAUUUGGGACUGCAAGGCUGGAGUGUGGCAGAGGAGACUGGAAUUCCUGGUGUAGCAGUGAAAUGCGUAGAUAUCAGGAGGAAUACCGAUGGCGAAGGCAGGUCUCUGGGCUGACACUGACGCUCAUGCACGAAAGCGUGGGGAGCAAACAGG